AGCAAUUACGGGAAGAUCACUCGUGUGGAAUGCAUCUAUCAUAGGCAGGCCCUCUCUCAGGGACCUCUGACACCACCCGUGGAUCCCAGACUCAUUCCAAAAUAUUGUAGAAAGGCUUUCUUUUCUUCCAUGUUUACUUCGUGGAGGUGGGAGGUGAUCAAAGUUCUGCAAAGAAGUGAUGCAAUGCAACAUGAGGCUCAGAAUGACAAGCAGAUGCAUCACACGCCGGCCCACUUGUUGCUGAGUAUUUGUUUGGUGUUUAUGUGGUCCACACAAGGCAUGAAGUAAAUCACAGCUCAGCCAGCUGGUAUGAGCAAGCCUUCACGUCUCAUUUAGAGACGGACCCCCACAAUUCUUGACUGCUUUAGUCAGUCAGCUCGAUUGCUUGCACGUUUAAGUCAAAAUGUUACGGCUGGUGGUUUUCAAUAGGCCUCAAAACCUUCUAAAAAUACUACACUGAGCAUGUGCAUGCCUCUUUAGGACUAGACUGGUACAUUUUGAGAGGCAAACUGUGUGUUUUUCUGAAGAUAUGUUAGUGUGGUCUUGUUUUGCUGUCCCUUCCUCCCUCCUUCCUUCCCGCUUCGCCUCCCCAUCAUUCACUCCGCCUCCCAAAGAAGGGUGAGGACGUGGCGGGUCAACGCCGAGACGUCCCCGUGCUGCGCCUCCUGUCAAUGUGCCACCACUGAGGAGGAGGAGAAAGAGCUGGCAGGACUACUCUUCCGUGCAGAUCAACUCAAGAUCUGGAGAUUUUACUCUUUUUUUAAAAAAUAAUACUCCCCUAGUCUGUUUAUAUAUUUGUAUUAAGAGCUGCUGUUUACCUGAAUUUGAAUUUCCAGGCAGCCAUGCCCGACAGGUGACAGUCCACAAACACCACUACUAAGAGAUGAAAAUGUCAGCCAGCAGGCGGCGCACUCCACUACAACACAAACAUGGCUGACAAGCAGCAGAGAGGAAGAGUCAUCGCCCCUCACAUAAGCAGCUGUGUUCUCUUCACCGGGUGAGGGGCUCUCGGGCCUUGGGGCGGAGGAAUGGCGCGGAAACGGAUGGAUGGCGCUAUGAAGAGUGAUCGGGGUGUCACGGAGGCGCGUUGGGGCCCGACAGAUAGCGAAUGAAGGAGCGACGACGUGGAGAGAUCGUCUCGUUUGGACUCCAUUUGUCACGCCUCUCCUUCCCGACCGACUGAGAGGAGCGGCCGUGUCUGCAGAGCACAGACCUCCGCCAAGGCCCAGCCAUCCUCCAACGCUCUUCCACUCCAGUCCUGCUGGUCAGCGCUCGAAGCUUGAAGUGCAGGAUGCAAACUCCAGGCAGUGGGUUAGUGGGGGUUUUUGUGGCAUGAGCUCAGUGACUUGAAUUGUCAGUUAUUCAGCUUCAGUGAGCGCCAGGCUGACCCCCCAUCCCCCACUCCGCAGAGAGCACAAUCUUCCUUUCGGCUCUCCUGGCUCCAGCGGCGAUUACCAGCCUGUUACCGUGACAGCCGCGCCGCGACGGAGGGACGAUGGGGAGACGCUUAACUGGAAUCUGCACGAUUGUUUUGACUAAAGCAGGAAACUGCUGACAGGCCAGUGUGUCAACCGGCGGUCCUUCCUCUGCAUAAUAAUCAUAACAUCGGAUGCUCACCUUGAGAGGACGAUAGAAAGAAGGAACAGGCAUUUGAACGAUGAAGAUGCAAACUUUUAUCUGGCAUCAUCUAACCUUUGCAUGCAUCUCAUUCAAUCCCAGCCAUUUUUCACAUGACAACCCCUUCAGCACCGGCCAUUUUAGGUGAGUUUGACUGAUCUUUCAAGGCACACACAAUACUGUGUUCUGUGGCUAUAUAAACAUGGAAAUUACCAAAAGAAACAUUGGACUCCCGACUUUCUUCGGGAUUAAAAGUUUGUUUCUACCUUUUUCCGUUUUUUAGUAAUCAGCAGUAGAACAUCGGUCAGUUUCAGGAAAAUAUCAGUUCCCAACUACAAUAGUCAGAGCAGCAUAAUUUUCAAUUUGACAAUUUUUUAUUUUUACUUUUGAGACUGACUCUCUUUUAUGACUCUCUUUUAUAACUUUAUUCUGACCUGAACACAUCAACAGCAGUGCAAUUCCAGCACCAUAUAUGAAUCUCCAGCUCACAAACACGUCUCUCGUCCUCCUCGGAGCGACACUUCCUCAUUGUCACUAGACAACCACAAGAUGCGUUCACAGACACCCCGAAAACCACAACAAUGUCUUUGUUAUGCACGUGUGUGUGUGGUGUAAAUAAACAGAAAGACAAAGAAAAACAAGAAGUGGACAUUGCUAUCACUCACUAGCGUAACUCGUACUGUGAAAGUACAACGUGAUGCAUUUAAGUGUGCUUGGAAAUCUGCACUCAACCAUGUGAAUUCAACUUAAAUUACUUGGUGUCUUUGAGCGUAACCCCUCAUAGCUCAUAAUAACAUGGUUAGUGUGAUUCAGAUGUUGUGCUACGACUAAAGAGACUGCUGUUAGGCAAAUAGAUUUUCAGACGUGGUGUGUUAUCUUUUAGCUUGAUACAGUAUACCGUAAAGCACCGUGUAUAAACCACACUUUUUUUCCACUGGUAAGAAGCAAAAAAUCGGGGUGCGGUUUAAACACGAUGACAGGUCUGUGACCAGACGCAGAAAUUGACGAGAAGUCCAUUUUAGAAUAGCCGUCUGUGGGUCAGACAGUUGCUUUGACUUUAGCGCCCCCUGCUGUACAGUUGCUGAAAAUGCUUGUGUAUGCAACUAACUUAUCUGG